UCGGGAAUUUUGGGCAAUGGGCGAAAGCCUGACCCAGCAACGCCGCGUGAAGGAUGAAGUAUUUCGGUAUGUAAACUUCGUAAGAAUAGGAAGAAUAAAUGACGGUACUAUUUGUAAGGUCCGGCUAACUACGUGCCAGCAGCCGCGGUAAUACGUAGGGACCAAGCGUUGUUCGGAUUUACUGGGCGUAAAGGGCGCGUAGGCGGUGUGUCAAGUCAGUUGUGAAAUCUCCGAGCUUAACUCGGAACGGUCAACUGAUACUGUCACACUAGAGUACAGAAGGGGCAAUCGGAAUUCUUGGUGUAGCGGUGAAAUGCGUAGAUAUCAAGAGGAACACCAGUGGCGAAGGCGACCACCUGGACUGAUACUGACACUGAGGUGCGAAAGCGUGGGGAGCAAACAGGAUUAGAUACCCACGUAGUCCCUGAGCGGGCUGGCAAGGCGCAU
rnacentral:rRNA from 1 species